GGCGCACGUGCUUUCCCUCCAUCUUUAUCUCUCUGCAGAUACCCGUAAAAAUGCUCUUUCUAUGCCACUCAAGUUCUCCAAGAGAACCAACAAACCCAACAAGUCGAUUUCUGCUCUUAGAAAACGUCCUCUCAGUCCCUCGCACAAAACCCAGAAAUUGAAUUUGGAGGUCUCUCCUCAUAGAGCUGUGUCUGCAGUGAGAUUGAUGAGAAUAGAGAUGGGCGGUGCAUUUGCUGAUCUCUUGAAUGAGAAAGGAAAAGGUUCUGGUGAUAAUGAGAUGGGGUAUGUUGAAAGAACUCUUGGGUUUCGAACCAAGGAUUUGGAUGAUCGUGAUCUUAGAUUGGUCACAGAAAUUGUUGGAGGCACCAUUCGUUGGAGAAGAUAUCUUGAUCAUUUAAUUUGUUCAUUAUGCCAUGAUGAGAACACGUUUAGGAGCAUGGAACCUCUUCUCUUGCAGAUAAUCCGAAUUGGUUCUUAUGAGAUUGUCAAGCUUGACAUGCCACCAUAUGCUGUUGUGGAUGAGAAUGUGAGACUUGCAAAAGUUGCCCUUAGACCUGGCGCUGGUAACAUGGUCAAUGGGAUUCUGCGGAAGCUAGUGCUGCUUAAGGACAAUAACUCACUCCCUCUCCCAAAACUGGAAGGUGAUGAUCGUGCACAAGCACGUGCCCUUGCCACUCUUUAUUCUCACCCUGUGAAUGAACAAAAUGCUGAAGUUGGGAAACUUUCAUCACUUGACAUUAUUACUUUAAGCUUGGGGCCUUGGAGUCAAAAUCCAUGCUAGAGUCCAUCCAUCUAACAUCCCUGUUUUAUGUGAUAAGUUGAUUGGCUCUGAAAGUGGAUGGUAAGGCGUUGGACAAAGUAUCAUGGGCAAGAAGAAGCAAUUAGGUUGAUGGAGUGGAACAACAGUGAACCCAGUUUCAAUUUGAGGGCAAACAGUGGGAAAGGAGUGACUAGAGAUGACCUUGUAAUGCAGCUUAAUUUGUUGAAGGUGAUUGAGAUAUGCAUAUUCACGUGCACUCACAUAAUAUUUUAAUGCUUUGAAGAUGAGUAAGUUGCUUUCUCAUUUAGUCUGUAGGAGAGGAGAAAAAUAGCAUUCUUUGGCAAUUGUGUAGUGGGAUUGCUUUUGCCUAAAAAUUGUGAGUAUGAUACCAUGCACAUGAACACAUGGCACACACACACAAAACACGUGCAUAUGUAGAUGCAGACACUGAAGAAAUAUUCCCUGUUUUAUCUAUGUCUUCCAGCUCAAUAAUUAUUUUCAAUCAUUUAUUUUCUUCUCUUUUCUUGAAUGCCAGGUUCCUUGUGAGCUUUCAUUGCAUUUGGAUUAUUUUGUCCGCAUUAAAAAAGGAAUGCAGAUUGUUAUGCAAGCUGGAUUGCUGAAACAAGGCCUCUGUUCUGUUCAGGAUGAGAGUGCAGGUCUAGUAGUUUCUGUCGUGAAUCCUCAACCUGGUGAAAGCAUUAUUGAUUGUUGUGCUGCUCCUGGAGGAAAGACACUUUACAUGGCAUCUCUAAUGGAUGGCCAAGGUAUUUUUAAGAGUUGCUGCUCUCUUUUCUGGUACACUUCCAAGCUUCCUUAGCUGGCUGUGCUUGGCUUGUUGGUCAUAUGCCUAUGUCCUUUGAUUGUAAAUUAUUACUUUUUAUACUCUUGUCACUGUAUUCAUCAAACUCUCAUCAAUAUGGAUAUGGUGUUGAAUGCUCAAGUAAGUGGCCACCUAGGAUGGUUGAUGUGGAACAGUUAGUAUGGAUUCUUGCAACUUAACCUAUUAUUCCACAUCUUGGUAGUUAAUCAAGUGUUUCUGCCAAGUCA
rnacentral:misc_RNA from 1 species